rnacentral:rRNA from 1 species
GGGGAAUAUUGCACAAUGGGCGAAAGCCUGAUGCAGCAACGCCGCGUGAGUGAUGACGGUCUUCGGAUUGUAAAGCUCUGUCUUCAGGGACGAUAAUGACGGUACCUGAGGAGGAAGCCACGGCUAACUACGUGCCAGCAGCCGCGGUAAUACGUAGGUGGCAAGCGUUGUCCGGAUUUACUGGGCGUAAAGGGAGCGUAGGUGGAUAUUUAAGUGGGAUGUGAAAUCCUCGGGCUUAACCUGGGUGCUGCAUUCCAAACUGGAUAUCUAGAGUGCAGGAGAGGAGAGUAGAAUUCCUAGUGUAGCGGUGAAAUGCGUAGAGAUUACGAAGAAUACCAGUGGCGAAGGCGACUUUCUGGACUGUAACUGACACUGAGGCUCGAAAGCGUGGGGAGCAAAC